rnacentral:rRNA from 1 species
AACGAUCUUCCGUAGGUGAACCUGCGGAAGGAUCAUUA